GAUGAACGCUAGCGAUAGGCUUAACACAUGCAAGUCGAGGGGCAGCACAAGGUAGCUUGCUAUCUGGGUGGCGACCGGCGCACGGGUGCGUAACGCGUAUGCAACUUGCCCUAUACAGGAGGAUAACCCGUCGAAAGACGGACUAAUACUGCGUAUGCUCACAACUUGGCAUCAAGUGGUGAGGAAAGAAAUUCGGUAUAGGAUAGGCAUGCGUCCCAUUAGCUUGUUGGUGAGGUAACGGCUCACCAAGGCAACGAUGGGUAGGGGAACUGAGAGGUUUAUCCCCCACACUGGUACUGAGACACGGACCAGACUCCUACGGGAGGCAGCAGUGAGGAAUAUUGGUCAAUGGGCGCGAGCCUGAACCAGCCAAGUCGCGUGAAGGAUGACUGUCUUAUGGAUUGUAAACUUCUUUUAUAAGGGAAUAACAAGAGUCACGUGUGACUCCCUGCAUGUACCGGAUGAAUAAGCAGCGGCUAACUCCGUG
rnacentral:rRNA from 1 species